CCUACGGGGGGCAGCAGUGGGGAAUAUUGCGCAAUGGGCGAAAGCCUGACGCAGCGACGCCGCGUGAGGGAUGAAGGUCUUCGGAUCGUAAACCUCUGUCAGCAGGGAAGAACGGUCACUGUGCUAAUCAGCAGUGAAUUGACGGUACCUGCAAGGGAAGCACCGGCUAACUCCGUGCCAGCAGCCGCGGUAAUACGGAGGGUGCGAGCGUUAAUCGGAAUUACUGGGCGUAAAGCGCUCGUAGGCGGUAUGUCAAGUCAAGGGGGAAAUCCCCGCGCUCAACGUGGGAACUGCCUUUGAAACUGGCAAACUGGAGUGUGUGAGAGGAUAGUGGAAUUCCAGGUGUAGGAGUGAAAUCCGUAGAUAUCUGGAGGAACAUCGGUGGCGAAGGCGACUAUCUGGCACAUAACUGACGCUGAGGAGCGAAGGCGUGGGUAGCAAACAGGAUUAGAUACCCGUGUAGUC
rnacentral:rRNA from 1 species